UGGAGCCACAGCAGCUGGAACUACUACAGGAGGGGCGGCAGCAGCUGGAGAUGCAGCAGCUGGGGCGGCAGCAGGAGGGCUGGCAGCACUGGGACUGGCAGCACUGGGGCCUGCAGCAGCUGGAGAUGCAGCAGCUGGGGCGGCAGCAGGUGGUCCUGCAGCAGGUGGUCUGAAGGCAGCUGGGCUGGCAGCAGGUCUCCUGCUCAGAGCAGACAGAGCCACAGGAGCUGACCAUGGUGUUGGAGGGUGGAGGUUCUGGAUGGGU